ensembl:rRNA 5S_rRNA 5S ribosomal RNA
AGCUUCGGCCACACCGCCUGGUUCACGCCCGAUCUCGUUUGAUCUCGGAAGCUAAGAUAGGUUGCCUGGUUAGUACUUGGAUGGGAGACCGCCUGGGAAUACCAGGUGCUGUGCUUU